rnacentral:tRNA from 1 species
GGGCCCGUAGCUCAGUGGCAGAGCGCCCGGCUCAUAACCGGUUGGUCCCAGGUUCAAAUCCUGGCGGGCCCACCA